AUGGUGGUGGUGAUGGUGAUGGUGAUGAUGAUGGGCUUACACAGAGCCAAGGCCUUUUCUGCUUCUUGUACUUCCACACUGGUGAGGAAGUUGGGAGUGCAUGGGAGACUGGGAGAAGACACAGCUGGGACAGGUGACCCAAACUGACCAAAGGGAUUUCCAGACCAUGUGACAUCAUGCUUAGGACAUAAAGCUGUGGGGAAGAAAGAGGAAGGGGGAAAGUUUGAAGUGAUGGCAUUUGUCUAUCCAAGUAAGCACUGCGAAUGAUGGGGCCCUGCUCUCCUGGAGAUGGCUGAACACCUGCCUCCCCAUGGGAAGCAGUGAAAUAAUUUCUUAUCUUGUUUCACUUGAGUGCAUGGCUUUUGUUUUUACUAAUAAACUGUCUUUAUCUCAA